ACUUCACCCAAUGAGGCUUUUCAAUUCUCAACAUCACAUCAGGCUCUAGCGACGAGAGCCUCUUUCUGGCUCUUAGUUGCCAUUUGACUGAUGGGGUAAGAGGCUCUCCCGAAAUAUGUUGAAAAGCUUUGAUAGCUGAUUCGGUUGGCUUCAUACGUGGACGAUUGAAUUGAUUGGAAAAUUGUUGAUACUGAUGCCGCAGUCGAAGUCGGCGCGCAAUAUCAUUUAUUUUCAAUCUCUGUCCCUCUGCCUUUUCAGCUUCAACAUCUCUCCAAAACAAUGAUGGGAGAGCUCGAUCGAUUUGCCAUGCUUUAGAUUAGAGCGGGUCAAUGUGUGAAAGCAAUUUUGGCGUGGGUUUAUUGUGUUUUGGGUGCUAUGAUUUGAGUGUUUCGCUAUGGAAGGGCGGCGAAGGGAUCGUUUAUCUGGUUACGGAAGACUGAAUCAUGUCUAACUAAUGACUUGAUUGAAAAUAUAACAUUCUUACCUAAUGCCACAUGAUAUCACAUCAUAAAUUCACAAUCAAUCAUUAUUAAAUACAGUUUAGGUUGAGGA
rnacentral:sRNA from 1 species